UCAGAUAUGGUGUAACGGGAACACAGCCUCAUAUUCUGGGUACUCUCCAGUAAAAUUGACAGGCAGUCCGGGGCUCGAUUCCCUGUGUCUGAA